rnacentral:rRNA from 1 species
CUAUAAUUGUCAGCUAAGUGGCGCACGGGUGAGUAAUGUAUAGAUAACCUGCCCUUAAGAAAGGAAUAACAGUUGGAAACGACUGCUAAUGCCCUAUAUGCCUUUAAUACAUAAGUAUGCAAGGGAAACGCUUUAGUGCUUAAGGAUGGGUCUGUAUGGUAUCAGCUUGUUGGUGAGGUAAUGGCUCACCAAGGCUAUGACGCCUAACUGGUUUGAGAGGAUGAUCAGUCACACUGGAACUGAGACACGGUCCAGACUCCUACGGGAGGCAGCAGUGGGGAAUAUUGCACAAUGGACGAAAGUCUGAUGCAGCAACGCCGCGUGGAGGAUGACACAUUUCGGUGCGUAAACUCCUUUUAUAUAGGAAGAUAAUGACGGUACUAUAUGAAUAAGCACCGGCUAACUCCGUGCCAGCAGCCGCGGUAAUACGGAGGGUGCAAGCGUUACUCGGAAUCACUGGGCGUAAAGAGCGUGUAGGCGGGUAUAUAAGUCAGAAGUGAAAUCCAAUAGCUCAACUAUUGAACUGCUUUUGAAACUGUAUACCUAGAAUGUGGGAGAGGUAGACGGAAUUUCUGGUGUAGGGGUAAAAUCCGUAGAGAUCAGAAGGAAUACCGAUUGCGAAGGCGAUCUACUGGAACAUUAUUGACGCUGAGACGCGAAAGCGUGGGGAGCAAACAGGAUUAGAUACCCUGGUAGUCCACGCCCUAAACGAUGUACACUAGUUGUUGUGAGGCUCGACCUUGCAGUAAUGCAGUUAACACAUUAAGUGUACCGCCUGGGGAGUACGGUCGCAAGAUUAA